ensembl:lncRNA novel transcript
GAUUCCCUCUUCCGCGGCUCCGCGCGGCGGAGCUCAGGGGCGCAGGCUCUUAGAGCUGCGGUGGGGCGGGGGCCGCGGGACGUCCGUUUGUUCUCCGCGGAGGAGGCGACGCGCCGCCAACGACCGCAGCUCCACGUCCUGGCGCUUCUGGGAGCCGCCCCAGCGGGAGCCAGGGAGAAAAUGAAUCGCCUUGAGUGACACAGGACAUGGCAGAUUGGAUGUUUAAUUUGGGUAUCUCUUUAGAACGCCCCCCACGCCCACCUCCUCUGCUCCCACUUAGCAUCCAGCCGGCGAGAAAGCCCUGCUCCUCACAAAUUGCCUUGUCGGCUCGGAGAAAAAUGCCAGCGUGACUGAUUGCUAGGUGGGUCCCUCCAAGUGCGCGGGAAGGAACCGGCACGACCGCACAAUGCUCCUUCCUACAGAGACGCGGCGUCGUGCCAGAGCCGGAGAUUUGAGUCAGACACCGGGAAGGACUGCCCGUGGAGGAGGGCGGCUCGUGGGGCUGGGGGUUUGUUUAGGGGUCUCUCGGGUCCAGAGGGAGGGCCAGGCGACCCUGGCUGGGGUCUGGUGGCUGUGGGGGGCCUGCGGGGCCCAGAGGAAAAGGCCGGCACCCGGUCCGCGAGAGGGGGCACGUACGGGGCGCAGAGGCAGAACGCAGCCCGCAGCAGACGGACAGCCUUCCCCAGACUGCCUGGAGCUCGGAGCCCGGCGCCGAAACCUGCAGAUCACAACCUGUCAGUCGCGCUUUCCCGGCAGCCUCACCUGCCUCCAGAUCUUUCCAAACAAGGAAAGGAGCUGCAAACAUGGCAAUCACCUUCCCGGCAGCGGCAGACAGCUGCCAGGGAGCAGCAGGCGACGAGCCAGCCCAGUCAGGGAGGCGGAGACGUGAUCAGGCUGCGGCAGCCCCCUAUACCGAGCUAGAGCUCGGGCGGACCCCGCCCCCCGCCGCAGGGACUUUGGUGGAUGUCCAAGGUCACCCGCAGCUCGGCAGGGGUUCAGCACCGGAGCAGCCACCUGUUCAGGUGGCAGUUCUGGAAGGACCCCUCGGGGCUGGGGGAGGGUGGGACUAGGGCCGCACCCUGGCUUUUGCUAACCAUUUAUGUGACUGGGGCAAGCGCCCUGGCCUUGGACUCUGACCACACCGCACAGGGCCUGGGGUCGCUUCCAUGCAGCUCUCUCAUUCUGAUUCUGGAGAUAUCUUGGGAAGAGCUAAGAGUGGCUUUUAGGCCCUGAAGCUGGGUAGGGCCCAGAAACCACACUUUCUAGGCUGUGGAGUGGCCCUGAUCCUCUCUUCAUUGUCCAGAUUAUUGCUUGAAGCCAACUCAGUGGGGUGUUGAAGUGGCUAAUCCAAGCUACUUGAGAUGAAGAGGUGUUGGAAGGACUGACCCGGGAUAAACCUGAGUGAUCCCAGACUCAGGCUCUCAAAAGGCUGGAAUGAAGAACCUCCUUUGGAGGGUUAAUAUAGGAGAAUUUAAGGGGUCCCCACCUUCCUUCCCAUCAGCCUGCUUAAUGUUACUACCCAUGCCAAGGACAGCCCGAUGGGUGCGCCAGCUUCCCUUAGAACUGACUGCCUUUUACUCCAUGAACUGUUUGAGAUUGUGUGGGUUCUUCUGAGUUCUUGAAAGUAUAGGACAAACAGAAGGGAGGAUGCUCUCAACAUGAAUGUGGAUAAUUUGCCCCCA